UACGUAGGGUGCAAGCGUUGUUCGGAAUUACUGGGCGUAAAGCGCGCGUAGGCGGCUUUGUAAGUCGGUUGUGAAAUCCCCGGGCUUAACCUGGGAACUGCAUCCGAGACUGCAUGGCUAGAGUAUGGGAGAGGGAAGUGGAAUUUCAGGUGUAGCGGUGAAAUGCGUAGAUAUCUGAAGGAACAUCAGUGGCGAAAGCGACUUCCUGGACCAAUACUGACGCUCAUGUGCGAAAGCGUGGGGAGCAAACAGG
rnacentral:rRNA from 1 species